GAUGAACGCUGGCGGCGUGCCUAAUACAUGCAAGUCGAGCGGAUAGACGAGGAGCGGGCUCCUCUUACGUAAUCGACGGACGCGUGAGGGACACUUACAUAACCGACAUAUAAGACUCAAAUAAGGUCAGGAAACCGGAACUAAUACCAGAUCAGAUAUAGAACCUCUUUGUUCUAUAGUGGAAGACAGUUUGUCUGUCCCUUAUACAUGGAGCCGGGCCGCAUUAGCUAGUUGGUAAGGUAACGGCUUACCCAGGCGACGAUGCGUAGCCGACCUGAGAGGGUGAUCGGUCACACUGGAACUGAGACACGGUCCAGACUACUACGGGAGGCAGCAGUAGGGAAUCUUCCGCAAUGGGCGAAAGCCUGACGGAGCAACGCCGCGUGAGUGAUGAAGGUCUUCGGAUCGUAAAACUCUGUUAUUAGGGAAGAACAAAUGUGUAAGUAAAUAUGCACGUCUUGACGGUACCUAAUGAGAAAGCCCCGGCUAACUACGUG
rnacentral:rRNA from 1 species